GACAGAGGGUGCGAGCGUUGUUCGGAGUUACUGGGCGUAAAGGGUGUGUAGGCGGUGCUCUAAGUUCGGUGUGAAAUCUCCCGGCUCAACCGGGAGGGUGCGCCGAAUACUGGAGCGCUCGAGCGCGGGAGAGGAAAGCGGAAUUCCUGGUGUAGCGGUGAAAUGCGUAGAUAUCAGGAGGAACACCGGUGGUGAAGACGGCUUUCUGGACCGCUGCUGACGCUGAGGCACGAAAGCGUGGGGAGCAAACAGG
rnacentral:rRNA from 1 species